UACGUAGGGAGCAAGCGUUUGUCCGGAAUCAUUGGGCGUAAAGCGCGCGUAGGCGGCCUCAUAAGUCCGUUGUGAAAGUCAACGGCUCAACUGUUGAAAGCCGGUGGAUACUGUCGGGCUAGAGUACGGAAGAGGCAAGUGGAAUUCCUGGUGUAGCGGUGGAAUGCGCAGAUAUCAGGAGGAACACCUAUAGCGAAGGCAGCUUGCUGGGACGUUACUGACGCUAAGGCGCGAAAGCGUGGGGAGCGAACAGG
rnacentral:rRNA from 1 species